UACGAAGGGGGCUAGCGUUGCUCGGAAUCACUGGGCGUAAAGGGUGCGUAGGCGGGUUUUUAAGUCAGGGGUGAAAUCCUGGAGCUCAACUCCAGAACUGCCUUUGAUACUGAAGAUCUUGAGUCCGGAAGAGGAGAAUGGAAUUCCUGGUGUAGCGGUGAAAUGCGCAGAUAUCAGGAAGAACACCCGUGGCUAAGGCGGUUCUCUAGUACGGUACUGACGCUGGAGAACGCGAAAGCGUGGGGAGCGAACAGG
rnacentral:rRNA from 1 species